rnacentral:rRNA from 1 species
UACGUAGGUGGCAAGCGUUGUCCGGAUUUACUGGGCGUAAAGGGCGUGCAGGCGGUCUGUUAAGUGCAGGGUGAAAGCUCCCGGCUCAACUGGGAGAGGUCCUUGCAUACUGGCGGACUUGAGGGGGGUAGAGGAAAGUGGAAUUCCCGGUGUAGUGGUGAUAUGCGUAGAUAUCGGGAGGAACACCUGUGGCGAAGGCGGCCUACUGGGCCGGACCUGACGCUGAGACGCGAAGGCGUGGG